rnacentral:rRNA from 1 species
UGGUGGGUAGUUUGACUGGGGCGGUCUCCUCCUAAAGAGUAACGGAGGAGCACGAAGGUUGGCUAAUCCUGGUCGGACAUCAGGAGGUUAGUGCAAUGGCAUAAGCCAGCUUGACUGCGAGCGUGACGGCGCGAGCAGGUGCGAAAGCAGGUCAUAGUGAUCCGGUGGUUCUGAAUGGAAGGGCCAUCGCUCAACGGAUAAAAGGUACUCCGGGGAUAACAGGCUGAUACCGCCCAAGAGUUCAUAUCGACGGCGGUGUUUGGCACCUCGAUGUCGGCUCAUCACAUCCUGGGGCUGAAGUAGGUCCCAAGGGUAUGGCUGUUCGCCAUUUAAAGUGGUACGCGAGCUGGGUUUAGAACGUCGUGAGACAGUUCGGUCCCUAUCUGCCGU